rnacentral:lncRNA from 1 species
UUUCUUAAGCUCCCAAUUUCUUUUGGUAUAGUACCUGUAAUGUGAUCGAUUAAAGGAUGAAUGAAUUUCAAUGAUUAUUUUUCAAUGAAUAUAAAUUUAAUAUAUAGCUAGGCUAGCUAGCCACCAUAAUUUUUUGGUAACUCACCAUUGAGGUUGUUACUACUCAAAUCAAGCUCCUUCAGAUUUCUUAAGCUCCCAAUUUCUUUUGGUAUAGUAUCUGCAAUGCGAUCGAUUAAAGGACGAAUGAAUUUCAAUUAUUAUUUUUCAAUGAAUAUAAAUCACCAUAAUUAUUUGGUAACUCACCAUUAAGGUUGUUACUACUCAAAUCAAGCACCUCCAGAUUUCUUAAGCUCCCAAUUUCUUUUGGUAUAGUACCUGCAAUGUGAUCGAUUAAAGGACGAAUGAAUUUCAAUGAUUAUUUUUCAAUGAAUAUAAAUUUAAUAUAUAGCUAGGCUAGCAAGCCACCAUAAUUUUUUGGUAACUCACCAUUGAGAUUGUUAUUACUCAAAUCAAGCACCUUCAGAUUUCUUAAGCUCCUAAUUUCUUUUGGUAUAGUACCUGCAAUGUGAUCGAUUAAAAGACGAAUGAAUUUCAAUUAUUAUUUUUCAAUGAAUAUAAGUUAAAUAAAUAGCUAGCCACCAUAAUUAUUUGGUAACUCGCCAUUGAAGUUGUUACUACCCAAAAGAAGCUCCUUUAAAUUUCUUAAGCUCCCAAUUUCUUUUGGUAUAGUGUUUGCAAUAUGAUCGAUUAAAAGAUGAAUGAAUUUCAAUGAUUAUUUUUCAAUGAAUAUAAAUUAAAUAAACAGCUAGGCUAGCUAGCCACCAUAAUUAUUUGGUAACUCACUCACCUGAAAGAUUAUUCCGAUCCAGAUCAAGGUAUUUGAGAUUUGAAAGAGAACCAAUUUGGGACAGAAUGCUUCCCGAUAGAUUAUUGUUCGAAAGAUCGAGAUAUUGCAGGUUUGGAAAGCAAGAAAAGUUGAGACGGCCAAGUUCCCCUUUGAUCUUGCUUUCCGCUAAGCCUAUGUCAGUGAUCCUUCCUUCAUAAUCGCAAGUGAUACCAACCCAACCGCAAUGAUCUGAAGUAUUGUGAGGAAUCCUGUCCUUCCACCAGCCGCUGUUGAGUAAAGCUUGUCUUUCUAUUUCAGAUGCUGCAACAUGAAUACUAAUGUUGGUAGCAGAUGCAACAUGGACUAUCAAAAGAGUAAGGGCAGCCCAUAUGAAUACGAUGACUGCUCUGCAAGUAUUGAAGAAACCACACUCCAUGUUUAAGAUAGUUUCAACAAAGCUAGGUUCAAGCUAAAAUGAUUUUUGGAUUUUGUUCAUGAACAAACCUGCGGGUGACUAAACUCUGCCUACUUAAAUAAUUUUGAGAUGAUGGACUAAUUCAUAUAUUUUUACGUAUGUACAUAAUUCAUGUUUUAUUAACGCGGUUUCAGUAAAAUUACAGUAAAAGAAGAGCAGACAGUAAAGCAUCAGACAACGUUUUAAGUUUGAAAUGAAUAAAUCGAUCGUGAUGUGUCUUUAGACCGAGUCCAGAUGAUAUUAUUACUUUUUUUUUUCUCUUGGGGUCACAUGCACGUUUUUCCUUCAUUUGACAAGUGUAGAGACUUCUAUAAAACAAUUAAAGCUAUUCACAAAUUGAAUAAUGAAUCACUUUUCCUAUUAUGUAGAAAGUGGUUUGAUUUCUUGAGAAAACAGACACCAUGUUUAACAUUAUUUCAACCAAGGUUGAUGGGAAAUGACUCUGCUCUGGCCAAGAAUUUUUUAUUUUAUUUUUUCGUAAUAUAGGUAUGGGUACUAGGUAUUCAAAAUCGAUUUUUUAGCCCUUAUAUUUUUUAGGAUUCGAACUCUCUAAUUAAAUCUGCUUGAAACCUCUCGGGCAGGGUCCUGAGGGAGGCUAAGACUAAAAUUGAUGAGUAGUUGAUCUCUUAACUUUGAGUUGAUAUAUUAUAAAGAAAAUGUUUUCCUAUAUACUAUACAUAUUCGUGUUUCAUGUACCCAACUUUUUCUGAAACGCGGUUUUAAAAAAGUUGCGGAAGAAGCAGAGAAGAAAGUAAAUUAAUUAAAGCAUCGAACAUAGUUUUGAUUUUGAAAUUAAUAAGUCAAUCGUCAUGCCUUUAGACCGAAUCCAAAUUAUAUUCUCUUUACAUUCGUAAAGCAUAGUUUUCUUCUUAUUUUUUGGGGUGGUGCCCCCAGGAUUUUAGAGGUUUAGACCAUGGAUUGGGACAAUAACACACUGGCUUUAGCCACACAAAUCUACUUAAAAUUAUAGCACUUGGCUACUUAGGGGGCUUUUGUAACCUUGUUUUAGACAAAAAAAAAUGAUGUUUAUGAUAGUAAUAUUUUUAAAAAUUUAAAUGCAUGCCUUAGUUUUUUUUUUUAAAUCAAAAUUAUAUAUAAAAAUGAAAAGAGCAAAAACACGUUUGGUUACAUUUUCUCACCGACAAAGUCACACUUGGUUUUUCUAAUUUACUGUUUAAGUUUGAAAAUUACUCUACUACUUACAUUUCAUUGAAUAAUCACCUUCACUUUAUUGCAGUACUUUUUCAAUGACUAAAACUUUAAGAGUGCUGAUGUUUGCCCCGGGUCAAACCCCGAACUUGAAAAAACGACACCGUUUUAAGGAUCAAUUUUUGUUAAGACAGAUGAGCUCAUUUCUUCACGCAACGAUGCCGUUUUGAGGACUAAUCUUUGGCUUUAACUUCAUCCAAUAAGAUAGAAGCAAAGAAAACAUGAAUGAGGCAAGACAGAAACUUGAUGCUUUAAUUCAAUAAACAAAAACAAUAAAAAUUAAAAAACAAUAAUUUUGUGUCUUUUAGUUCCAGCAAUGAAGUUCAUCAUCAACAGUACAGACUCUUUAUCUCAAGCACCGGAAUUAGUCAAAUGUCUUUGGGAAGAAAUAUCCUCGUCUUGAAACUUAUCAGCAAACCUUCAAAUUUGGGUUAUGAAUGAGAUGAAGAAGGUCGAAGCAUUGCAGUUAUGCACAGUCAUGCAGAGACUUUCAAACUAAUAUAUUUUUCAUUAAGAUUUUAUUUGUUAAAAAUCUUAGCCAGUACAGCACCGCUGCAGUGACGAUGGCGACAACAAUGGGUUUCUUGUUGAGACCCCUCUGCAUAUCCACAACCUCCACAAUCCUCUCAAAAUACCAACUCCGUAAACCCCACCUCACUUCUAUCCCCACCCGUCGGCUUUUCUUCUCUCACAAUUUCUCCUCUCUAGCUCUCACACCCACAACAGUCACUACUAAAGCCUUCGCCCCAACUCUCUGUUCCCCACAACCACAGGACCAACAAGAAGAGCAAGAGCAAUAAUUGCUCCUCAACUUGUUCUUGAGAUUUGAGAACCAAUUUAACGGUGCGUUUUUAACUUAAUAAAACGGUGCGUUCAGUUCAGGGUUUGACCCGGAAUUUGACCCGGGGCAAACAUCAUUUUCCAAACUUUAACUCUAACUCAUGCACAUGAAAAAUUGAAGUCAAAGUUCUACAGGAAUUUCUAAAAAUGUUUUUUUUUUUUUGAUACGGAAACAUUGACCAUUUGAAAAACAGCUUCAAUGAAAGGUACCUUAAUGCCGUGAAACACAUUCAAGGAUUAACAAACUACAUGGAUCAAGCAACCAAAUUCAUUCCUUGUUUUCAAAGUUUUUGGAUUGAAAUUUCUUGAAAAAGCAAGUUUUGGUAAUGGACAGGUUCUGUUUAAACAAAUUGACGUUUAAACAAACCACAUCCAUCUGAUCCUAAGAUUUUGUUAUUAUAAGAAAUACGAAAAGUCAAAGAAGAAAUGCUGACAUCAUGAAUCCUGCAGCAUGAUCGUGAAAAUUCAAAGAAAAAAAUGUCGGUGUCAUGAAUCUCGAGGGAAGAUCAUAAUUCCUACAGCAGAGUUAUGAAAAAUCAAAGAAGAAAUGCUAGUGUCGUGAAUCUUGCAGUACGAUCAUUAGUCCUGCAACAGAGUCCAUAAAGCCCAUGAAGCUUGCAGCAGAACCACUAACUCUACAACAGAGCCCAUUAGUUCUGCAACAAAAUCAUAAGUCCAUGGACUAGAUGCAAGAUCAUGGACUACGUAGAAGAUGGUGCCAAAAAGUUCAAAUCACCACAAGUCUGUGAGACCAUGAUUCAACCCCCAGCUCUAAACGUGGAAUGAUUUAGAAGCUCGAUUCAAAGAGAUAGGGAUAUAAAUCAGUUGUGCUAUCAUCCAUAGAAGAUAAUAUUAUGGAUUAUCUGAAUCUUAAGUGACAUAAAUGAAGAGUUUGGAUUAGAAUUCUUUGUUAUCAGUAGAACACUAUAUAUAUAACGCCUCUCUUAGUACACAAAAGAUGAGGUGACUAUAACAACAAAAGUAGGAAUCAUUUUUUUAUAGUGAAAGCUUUAAAUUCCUACUUGUGGACGUGGGCUAAAUGUUGGAUGACAUUAAAUUUUAUGUUAUAUUUAGUAUAUUUAAUUUAUUUUACUAGUUGACAAGAUUUUUAUGCCAACAUAUUUAAAUUUUCCAAGAGACAGCUUAAUGACACUUAAAUGAAGCAUAUUGGUGUGCCAAGUUUUCUGAUGACACUCAAAUCAAGCUUAGGCCUUAUUAGCUCCACCUCUACAUGUGUUUUUCUGCCUUGCUUUCUUCCUCUUUGGUUUUUGUAUCAGAUGCGGAUGUGUUUUGAACCAUCCUUGAUUCAUGAAAGACCACAUCUUCGCUUAUGAUACACCUAAGUUUCUUCAAGGCUGUACAUCGAAGGUUGUAUACUUCGAUCCCAUAUGGAUAUCUCAGGAAUGCAUAUUUCAAAGCUCUUGAUUCUAGUUAUUUUUGCUCUGCAUAUGCGUAUACAAAACAACCAAAUAUCUUCUAAUUGGAUUACUCUACUGGUUUCCAGACCAUAUUUCAAUUGGAGUCUUGAAUGGAUCAACAUGCAUUUCAAUGUGCAUAAAUAUCACAUUAAUACAUCUGCCAAAAACUUUUGUUGAGAUGUAUGCCUUACUAUCUUGUGCCCAGCUAUCCUAUUAAUUGCACGUAAAUCUUCAAACCUUUUGCUGCAAAAUCUAAUCCAUUAUUAGGUUUUUUAUCUCUUGAUCUUUCUGCCAAUUUGUGUUUCAAUGAGUGUUUUUUAAGUUUUAAACUUAUCAAACACUUUAUUUAUGUCUUCAACAUACUUACACCAUUCUAAAAUAAUUAUCUAUUAGAGAAAAAAAAAAGUACAGCUAGGCACAAGAUAUUAUAGUACUAUUAAAAUGCAUUUGAGGAAUAUUGUAAUACUAGACUAUUGUCGGCACUUGUCUAACAAAUUAUUUACGAUUGAUUUGCCCCUGCUCCUUGAUAAUAGAUUUUUGGUUUUGAAUCUAGAGCAUGCGUUCAUUAUUUUCCAACCUACUUUGAAAAAUUAUUUUCAGAAAUUGAAAACAAAGUUUAUCGAACAGUAUUUAUCACCAAUCAGUUGAAUGGCACUGUACCUGCAUGUGUGCAUAUAUCUAUCAAAAUAAUGAGUGUUUGUUACUUGCAUUUUUUUUCCCCCUUUGGUAUGGCUGCAUGCAUCAAAGGGUUAGAUUCGAAUAUGGAUACAAACUAUUGUUUUAACCCUAGUCUUGGUAACUUAAUGAUUUACUUCAGAUGGUGUUAAAUAUUCCUGUGAAAUUGAAACUCAGAUGGGAGUAAGUCAAACUUGGUUGGGUAUAAGAUGAAUACUAUAAUGAUUACUAAGAUUACCAUAACGAGUAGCUGAAUAUUUGGAUCAGCUGAACAUCUCAGAGUUAUGUUGUCAAGUUUUAUUUGUUCGAUACUUCCCAUUAUUGAAGUUGAAAUGCUUCUCACAUGUGUUUUCUGUGUAGGGUUGAAUAUCUUGUCCUUGAUGAAGUUGAUAAAGUAUUCGAGGUGGGCAACUUGUCAAAGCAUUAUCAAUCCUGUGGUGAAAGCAUGCUCUAAUCCUUCGAGAGUACGCUCAUUGUGCAGUGCUGAGCUCCUGGAAUUUUUUUUUAUGUUUUCUCAUUUUUUGCCUAAACCUUAUUGGUUUUACAAUAUCAUUAUCAGUAAUAGAAAUGCCCAAGUUUAGAUGGUUCGAAUUGACUAAUGUGGACAAACUUCUGAGUGGUGAUAUUGUAAUUCCAUAAACGCUAUUACCGUGAUAUUUUCAUACCACACAUCACUUGCAUAUCAUAUGACUUUCCUGUUAAAUACAGCGAGAAAAUGCUGUUGAUGACUUCAGAGCAGGCAAAACAUGGGUUUUAAUUGCCACUGAUGUCAUUGCCCGAGGCAUGGAUCUUAGUCUGAAUUUCAAUCCAGCUCUGACCAGGAACUUUCCUCACACCUCUUUCCUUCAUUGAGCCCAUUAAUCUAGCGACUUCCUCCCACUUUCCGGAAGAAGCAUAUAUGUUGCAAAGCAAUACAAGAGCGGCAGAAUUUGUAGGAUCGAUUUUCAAAAUAUUCUCGGCAGCUCGUUUUCCAACAUCAACAUUCCCAUGGGUUUUACAGGAAGCUAACAGAGACUUCCAUACCACGAUAUCAUCGUCAAAAGCCAUUUGGUUGAUAAAAUCCUCAGCUUCAUGUACACGUCCAGCACGAGCAAGCAAGUCAACCACACAAGAACGGCGCUCUCUUGUUGGUAUAAUCCCAUACUCAUUUUGCAUGAUCCUAUACAACUGCAACCCUUCUUCUACCAGUCCAACAUGACUGCAGGCUGUAAGGACACCAACAAGUGUCACAUGGUUUGGCCUAACUCCUGAACUUCUCAUCCUUCUAAACAGUUUAAGAGCUUCCUCUCCACAUCCAAACUGAGCAUAUCCCACAAUCAAACUACUCCACGAGACAACAUCUGGAUCCUCCAUAAAGUUAAAGAGCUUCCUCUCCACAUCCAACCUGAGCAUAUCCCUCAAUCAAACUACUCCACGAGACAACAUCUGGAGCCUCCAUAAAGUUAAAGAGCUCCCGAGCACUUCCAAGGGAGCCACAUUUUACAUACAUGUCCAUCAAUCCAUUCAUGACAAAAACAUCAAGUGCAAGCCCAGUUUUCAUUAUGUAGCAAUGAAGUUGAGUUCCCAUUUCUAAAGAAGCCAUUGCUGCGCAAGCCCCCAUUACAUCAUUGAAAGUAAUGUGAUCCGGCUUAGUUUGAGAAGCAAGCAUUAGGCUAAAUAAUCUGAAUAAUUCUCCAGCCUGGUGCUGCUGCAGAAAGCUGCAAGAAUUGAGUUCCAAGAAACUAAAUCUGCAUUUUUGCCCAACUCUUUAAAUACCAGUAAGGCAUUGCAGAGAACAGAGCACUUAGCAUACAUACCAGUAUAGCAUUACAGACAGGAACAUUCGAAUAAAACCCCUUCUUAAUAAUAUAGGAGUGAAUUUGCAUACCCUGAUAAAGUGACAAAGGGCUGGUGCAAGCACAAAGUAGGGAACGAACAGUGAGCCCAUCAGGUAUCAACUCACGAUCCCCCAUUUCUGAAAAGAGUGACAUGGCUUCGUUGGCAUUGCUACAACUAGCAACCCCAGCAAUAAUUGUAUUCCAUGAUGCUAAAUUAGGGCUUUCCAUCUCAUUAAAUACAGUUCUUGCAAAAUCUAACAAACCACAUCGGGCAUAAAUGUCACAAAAGGAACAUCCGGCAAAAAUAUCUCUACCCAACCCGAAUUUUAUGCAUAUACCAUGUACCUGCCUCCCACAUUCAUGAUGUAGGAGAGUGCUACAAGCACUAAAAACACUGCCAAAUAUAAAUUCAUUUGGCUGGUAACCACCAUGAUGGAGCAUUUCAUUAAAAUGGCUCAAAGCUUCUAACUCACAACCAAGUUUGGAAAACCCAUCAAUCAUUGAACCCCAUGAAGUUAUAUCCUUUCUAGCGAUACUGGAAAACACAUUCCAUGCAUCCAAAAUUCGAUCAAACUUUGUGUACAUUGCGAUUAGAGCAUUCUGUGAAAUAAGAUGAGAACCAUGUUCUGAUUUUAUGACAUGGGCAUGAAGUUGUCUUCCUAAGCCAACACAGCAUAGACCUGAGCAAGCUCUUAUUAUGCUUCCAAAGGUAAACUGAUCCGGCAUAAGUCCUGACUGUAGCAUUUGUACGUACAGUUCAAUCGCAGCAUUUUCUUGGCCAUUCUGAGAGCAUCCAGCGAUCAUAGCAGUCCAAGAGACCACAUUCCUUUGCGGCAUUUCAUCAAAAACCAUUCUAGCAUCCUCCAAUGAACCACAUUUUCCGUACAUAUUAAGAAUAUGGUUAUGUAGAACAGCAUCUGGCUGACACUUGGACGAUAAAAUAUGAUCAUGGACUUUUCUUCCAAGUUGUAGAGAUCUCAGAGAAGAGCAUGCAGAGAUUAAAUCAGCAUAAGUGCUAGGUCUUAUCCUGAAGUUUGUAUUGUUUUGCAAGAAGUCAAAUGCUACAAGAGCUUCAUUGUACAGGUUUUGCUUGCAGAGAGAGCUAAUGUAAUCAUUGCUGAACUGUUCAGUCCUAAAGUAAGUUUGAGCAUUUGAUUGUACAAUAGGCUGACUGUGGUAGAAGGUGAACCGCAGUUGGGUUUUUAAGUUUCUAAUCAUGGUCACAGCAUUUCAGAAAGAAAAUAGUCUAGAACUAAAGGAUAAGAAAUGUUGAGAUUUUUUUUGUAUUUGGAUUUGGAUUUUAAAAGUAAUAGUAGAAAGCAACAAAUGUAAGUGGUAAAUUGCAUGAACUGAGAGGUAAAAUCUGACUCUUAUGUUACUCCAUGAACCUGAAUAAAUCAAAGUCCCAAAUAUCAUCGAAUCUUCUCAGAAAAGAAUCCACCACCUCCCCAGCUUGAUCCAACAACAUACACAGUUCAAAUGCAUCCCAAUACUCACAACACCACCUAGGCAAAUGACAAAUAAAAAAACACAUAAUCAACAUAUUGCACUGACAAGCACGGAUACAAACUCUCGUGCAAACUUUUUGUAAACAAACUGAUAUGUCAUCACAUUAUUGGUUGGAUGAUGUAAAUGGAGCGAACUUCCAAAUCGAAUCAAACUUAUGCUAAAUGAAUUUUUCAAGCAAUCAAAAUGGGCCCCUCACAAAAUUUUUUACGGCCCCUCACAAAAUUUUUUCAAAAUGGGCCCCUCACAAAAUUUUUUACAGGAAACAAAAAUGUGAAAGCUUGUAAGAGGCAAUUCUUCAAAAUGGUUAAAAAUUUAUAAUACAUUAGAACUACGGAUACAAAUGCUACGACUUUUUGCAAUGACAACGAAGUACCAAUGAAACACAAAGUGUUGCGAUAAAGCGUGAAAGCAACGAAACUAGAAAUGGAAUCAGAAGCAGAAAUGAACUGUAAAGCCAUCAUAGCAAAAGAUCGAAACUGCCGAUAAUUAAAAUUAAAUUACCUUAAGAUUGUGGAUUGUAGUGACUGUAUUCAAGCAUCCUCGUUCUUAAAUCUGAAUUUAAAAAAAAAAAUGGUUAAACAAAGUAGACUGAAAGGAAUGCGAGCAGGUCUUUGAGCAGCAAAAUGGCGCGCUUCAAGAGUUUAGCGGUGAUAGGGGUAAAAUUGGCAAUUCAAUUACCGAGGAAAUUAAGGCAUUAAGCAGACCAUGUUUUAAUUUUGAAUUUAGUUCAUUUUCUUACAAAUUUAAACAGGUAAAGAUUGUUUAUUUCUUAUUUUAAUGUGAUAGUAUAGUUGAAUUUAAUCUGAGUACUAUCAAUAUAGUAUUUUUUAAAAUAAAUAUACAUAUGUUUUAAUAUUAUUUAUUUAUUGCAUGACUAACUUAAUAAUAUCUCUCAAACUAUAUUCCCAAUGAAUUUUAAUGUUACAUAAUUGGUAAUUAUUAAUUUUUAUAAAAUAAAAAUCUCAUCGUGUCUUUUAAUUUUUAUCAUAGUUAAAGAUGAAAGUAUGACAUGUUAUGAAAACUUCCGUAAUUUGAUAUUAAAACAACAAGAGAGGGUCUUCUCUAUGUAAAAUUUUAAAUGCAUCCAAUUUUGAGAUAAGUAGAAUGUUGUUGCUUGAUAUGUUGCGGUAAACAAUUGAUGGCGUGCAAUAGUGAUACAGGUGUGACAAAGUGUAAGCCACACUCUUCAAGAUGGUCACUCUGUUAGUCCAAUUCAGCUCAAGAGCUUCAUCCUCAUUGCGUAGAACACAGAACAAGCUUCCUCUUUCCAUGCACUCAUAAAUAAAAAACAUGCAUUUCUUGAGCAAAUAAAAACCAUAGAGUUUCACAGCAUUUCGAUGUCGUACUGUGGAGAAUAAAUGAGCCUGGUUUUGGAAACUCUUUAGAAAAGCUGAAUCCUCUGUUUUAGAAUGGUAAAGCUACUUUAAAGCAACAACUUCUCCAUCUCGUAGCUUUGCCUUGUAUACACUGUCAUAACCUCUAUAGUUCCAAUGCAUUAUUUGAUAUGAAAAUCUUCUUUUGCAUUAAUCAAAUCUUCAUGCAAAAUUUUACCAUCAUAAUUCUACACUUAAAAUGCAUCUUCAUUCUUGGUAGCUCUUGACUUGAGUUUUAGACUUUCAUUCUUAUGUUUAAAAAGUAAAAUGAAUCCAAAUAUUAUGAAGGCGAGAACUAAAGCGAGAGGAAGAAAAAUUUUAUGAAUGAACCCUAUAAACCUAAUAUCACUGCUUCCAUACAUUGAACAUAGUUUUUAUUUGCCUAGUACCCGUCUAAGUUCUAUUGUAGCGUUAAUAAGAUCUACAAGAUUUCCUAAACCACUCCCAUAAAACACAAAUAUUUUUAAGCUGUAAAGUUGGGAAUUCUGCCACUAUGAUUUUUGAGUAAAAUGCGGGGGGUUCCAAAUGUUUGAACUAAACUUUGUGAAAGGUUUGUGCUGAUGAAUCAUAUAACAAAUUUCUUAUAUACACAAUUGAUGGCUAUACUAUCACAUUCUUUUCCGUCAAGAAAAAGCAAGAUUAGACACUUAACCAUUAGUGCUUAUAAGAGACAGAAGUUGUCUGAAAAAGCAGAUUCCCUUGUUGGAUAAUCUUUGAAAAACUUAUACAACGCUUGCAUGGGAAACUUUCUUUAUGUUCAAUGGAUUGAAUAAGAUUUUGAUGUUAUCUUAAAGUUCAAGAAAGGUGCGAGAGUUCUUUCACCACUUUCCCUCAAAUUAAUAAACAGCAUGAUUGUUAUUCCAUAUACGUGUACAACUGAUAUCAUAUCUUUAUUCUUUUUUUUUUUUUUUGUAAAUCAUCCGGUGUCCUGCAACCACAUUGGGUCUCGACUAAUCCAGAUUCGGGGUAUAGUAAUAGUUAAAGCUCUUUACCCCUCCCAAAUGGUGUGUUUAGUGGGGAUCGAACUCAAGAGCUCUUUCCACAAACUCAGUCUACGCUGCUAACUGAGCCACAACAAUUUGGUGAUAUCAUAUCUUUAUUAAGCUUUAAACUAACCAUAUUUUCUUUUGAUUUUCAAUGUGAUUUUUUUAGGCAAAUAAUUUGAUUAUGCGAUAAGUUCGCCUAUGACUACACAUCUCACAUAAUCAAAGGGGAUUAAUGUUACUAUCCAAAAAUCAAUAUUAGGACUAAGGAUCCAAUUCAGCCUAUCUGACUUAGGCAUGGGAUGUGUUACAUACUUCUCAGAAUUCACGUCAGGCACUACCUGAUGGAGACAUGCAAGGAACACAUGGUGUUUAGUCAGACUAUUUAGUAUAUUCUGCAGCAAUGGCUAUUCUUAGAGUCUAAAUAUAGUAAAGUGGUGGCAAUAAAAUAUUACCAACCGAUUUUGAUAAAACAAAUUAUUUAUUAAAAUAAAUCAAUUUUAACAAAUAAACUAUUAUUUUAAAGCCCAUCAAUUUUGAUAAAACAAAAUAAAUUAUUUUUUAAAACCAACCAUAAUUGACAUUUUAGGCUUGGCUUGCCUAUAAAUAGGGGGGUUGAGAGCAUAGAGAGGUCAUGAAUUGAGAGAGUAUUUUGAAAAUUUUAAGUUCUCAAUUUAGUAAUUUCUAAUUUGUGAGAUAGGGUGUAUUGGAGUGUUGGGUUGUAAGAUUAAAUACUGCAAUACUUGUAACUUUACAUAACUAGUAAAAUAUUUUCUCUCAUCUUCUCCCAUAGAUGUGUGCUAAAAGCUAAACCAUAUAACUUUUCUAUGUCUCCUGUGUUAUAUUUAUUUCUCAAUUUCAUUUUAUUCAUCUAUUUACUUCACUCAUCAAUUCACUAAUAGUGAUAUUAGAAGCCAUCAAUCACAAUUACUCGAAUUAGAGAUACCAUUCACACAUACAAUACUAUUCACAUAUAUGAUACUAUUCAUAUGUAUGAUACUAUUCACAUACACGUUACUAUUCACAAUAGGAGUGAUUGAAGGCCAAAAUUGAGUAAUUGUAUGGUUUUGUACAUAUUUAGAAAAGUUUUGUUACUAAGACGAUGAGACUCCAAGGAGUUUGGGUUUUUAGUUGAACCAUUGUGACCUCCAAUCUAUCCUUGGAACUAUCUUGUUGUGCAAUUUUGCAUAUACUAGCAUUUCGACUAUUCAAGCCAAAGUCAAAGUUGCGACAAGCACUUAUUUGCGCCAUAUCAAUGCUUGAAUUCACUUUUGGACCUUACUCUUUGAAUCACACAAUAAAAUCAAGCGAAUUGCAUAUCAAUUAGUUUGAAUUUCUAUUCAAUCUCAAUUUUACUUCAAUCAAGAAAAAGUCUAUUCUUCUUACACGUGGCUUGGUGAAAUUUCUGCCUUAAACAUUUGAAUAGAAAUUCGGACUAAUUGGUCUGCAAUCUGCUUGAUUCUGUUUUAUGGUUUGAAAAGGAAGGUUUAAAAGAAUAUUCAGGCAUUGAUAUGGCCCAAAUAAGCUCUUGUUGAAACUUUGACUUCGGCUUGAAUAGUUGCAAGUGAUAAUAUGUAUGAAAUUACACAUUAAGAAAGUUUCGAGGAAAGACUAGAGAGACCACAAUAAUCUAACUUAAAACACAAACUCUUAUAGCCUUGGUAACAAAACUUUCCUAAAUUUGUACAAAACCAUACGGUUACUCCACUUUGGCCUUUAAUGAUUCUUGCUGAGAAUAGUACUAUAUACAUGAAUAGUAUCAUAUAUGUGAAUAAUACCGUAUGUGUCAACAACAUCGUUAGUUCGAAUUAUUGCAAUCAACGGCUUCUAAUACCACUGUUAGUGAAUUCAUGAGUGAAGUAGAUACACUGUUAAAAUGAAAUUGCAAAAUAAAUAUAACACAGGAGACAUAAAAAUUUACAUGGUUCAGCUUACUCACACACACACACACAUAUGAACUCAAAGUUCUCAAAAUCCUCUCUCAAAUCAUGAUCUCUCCAUGCUCUCAACUCACCUAUUUAUAGGGCAAGCCAAGCCUAAAAAUGUCAAUUUUAGUUGGUUUUAAAAAAUAACUUGUUUUGUUUUUAUCAAAAUUGGUGGGCUUUAAAAUAAUAAUCUAUUUGUUAAAUUAAUUUAUUUUAAUAAAAUAAUUUGCUUUGUCAAAAUUAAUCCGUAAUAUUUUAUUCCCACCACUUUACUGUCUUUAGGUUGUAAGAAUAGACACAACCGCAGAAUGUCCUGAACAGCUAGUCUAACAAAAACCAUGUUCUCCUCGUACGUUUCUGUCAGUUAGUGCCCGGUGCGAACUCUGAGAAGCAUAUAAUACAUCUUAGGCCUGAGCUUGAUAGGCUGAAUUGGGUCAUUGGGCCUAAUAUUGAUUUUUAGAUAGUAACAACCUUUUACUGAAUAAGCUAUUAAAUACGUCCGAUAGGCGAUCGACAAUUUAUGAAUUAUAGAAACUGAUAUGUCAGCAAAUCAUUGCUUGGAUGAUGUACAUGGGCGCACUUCCAAAUCGAAUCAAACUUAUGCUAAAUGAGUUUUUCAAGCCAUCAAAAUGGGCCCCUUACAAAAAUUUUUACAGGAACAAAUUUUGAAAGCUUGUAAGAGGCAAUUCUUCAAACAAGAAGACUGCAUAAUGAUUUAAAAUUUAUAAUACAUUAGUACAAUGGAUACGAACUUUAAAUUUAUAAUUGAUAUGAUGUUUUGCAAUGACAACGAAGUACCAAUUAAACACAAACUUUUGCCAUAAAGCAUGAAAGCAAUGAAACUAGACAUGGAAUAAGGAAGCAGAACUGAACUGUAAAGCCAUCAUAGCGAAAAAUUGAAACUGCAGGCAAUUUAAUUAAAUUACCUUAAGAUUGUUGGAUUCCAGUAGACUGAAAGUAAUGCGCGCAGUUUUUUGAGCAACAAAAUGGCGCGCCUCAAGAGUUAAGCUGUAGUAAGGGUAAAAUUGGUAGUUCAAUUACAGAUACGACGUCGUGCUUUCGACAUUAAGCAGACCUAUGAUGUUUUAAUUUCGAAUUUAGUUCGUUUUCUUAAGUAUCUUACGUUUUAUCCCCUAGUUUAAACUUUAAAGAUAGUUUACUUUCUUUUUUAGUGAGGUUAUACAAACAAGCAUUGAAUGUAUAAUACUAUAAUGUGUAGUUGAAUUUAAUAUAACUAUUAUUUAUAUAGAAAAUUUUGAAAAUAAAUACAUAUAUGUCAUGAGUAGUGCUACACAUCCUAAAUUAUUUAUUUCAAAUAAUUAUUUCAAAUUAUGUGGUAUUUAUUAAUUGGUUAAUGAGGAUAAUACAAUUAAUUCACUUGAAUCUUGUAAAAAAUUACCAACCAAUCAAUCAAUGACACACCAUUUGGGAUGAAAUUUGGGAUUGAAUAUUUGUAAUGUCUAUCAUUAUCGAUAUGUCAUAAUAUUAUUUACUUAUUUUAUAACAUAUUGAACAAUAUUCUUGAACUUUUAUGUUAUACAAUUGAUAGUUACUAAAGUAGUUAUUAAAUUUCAUAAAAUUAAAAUCUCACUUUUUCCCAUACGAAAAAAAGGACAACUACACCUCAAGAUUUGCGGAAAUUGUCACAAAGAUCCUCAAGUUUUUAAUAAGGGACACCGAGAUGUCGUUUGAGCAUAAUACCUUUUGACUUUAUAAACUCUAAAUAAAUUGACCUUAAAAUUUUAUAACAAAUAAAAAUUUGACAUUGCAAUAAAUGUAAUAAUAUAUCAAAUUUAAAAUAAUUUUAAUAUUUAAUUUUUUUAUAUUCUACAAUAUAUUAGAACUAUUUUAUUAUAUUAAAGUAAUUUUUAAUAAUAAACNNNNNNNNNNNNNNNNNNNNNNNNNNNNNNNNNNNNNNNNNNNNNNNNNNNNNNNNNNNNNNNNNNNNNNNNNNNNNNNNNNNNUAUAACAAAUAAAUUAUAUUAUUUAUAUUAAAUUUGUAUUAAUUAAAAAAAUUAAAGUUAAUUUUCUAAUUCUUAUAUUCAAAGGAUAUUAUAUAUGGUAAAAAGAAUAUUUUGGAGUCCCUUUUUAAAAACUUAUAUGUUAUUGUGACCAUUUCUUUAUCAUAGUUAAUUGUGGGCACAUGCAAUAACAUGGGAACUUUUCCUAAUUUCAUAUUAAAACGAGAAGUGAGGAUCUUUAUCCUCGUAAAAUUCUAGAUUGAAUACCUUAAAACACCUGUUACCAUAAGCAUGCAUUUAAUUUUGAUCAGGAUUAAUUCGCUCAUGAUUUAAUAUUGCAAUGAGUGAAAUUUUAAGCGAAAAUUGAUAAUUAAUAAGUUAUAAAAAAUUAGAUAUUACUCAUAAAUUAUUACUAAAAGAGAGAGUUUUAUAUAUAUAUAUAUAUAUAUAUAUAUACAUAUAUAUAUAUUAACUGGAAAAUUAAUUUGUGUGUAUAUGCAUUAGAUUCAUGGGUGGAAGGAGAAGUACAAUAAGAAAGAAAGAACGUUCAUCAUCGUCACGCUCAGAGGGCUUGAGAAGAAAAUGGGAGGAAAUGAAUCUUGAUAUUCUUGAGAGGUGUGCUGUGCCGCUCAUGGCAAUUAUUGCUGUUGGCUGUGACCACGGAUCAAAUUUACGUGUCAUUAUGACCGUUUCUUUAUCAUAGUUAAUUAUGGACGCAUAAAAUAACAUGAGAACUUUUCAUAAUUUCAUAUUAAAACGACAAGUGAGGAUCUUUAUUUUCGUAAAAUUUUAAAUUGAAUACCUUAAAACACCUGCUAGCAUGAGUGUGUAUAUAAUUUUGAUCAGGAUUAAUUCGCUCAUGAUUUAAUAUUCCUGAGAGGUGUGCUGUGCCGCUCAUGGCAAUUAUUGCUGUUGGCUGUGACCACGGAUCAGAAUCAUGUGUUGGCAAUUCUUUGGACCUUUCAUGUUAGCUUUUGACGUGUAGUGAAUCUUUUAUGUUUAUUGGUUUUUCAUGCUUUGCUUAAUGAUUGUUGGUCAUGUUCUCCUAGUUGUCGAACUUGCUUUUUUUUUUUUUUAAUUUUUUAUUUUCUCACAAGUGUUUACAGAUAAUCCACAAGUUUAGUCCAAUAAUUGGUAAUAUCAGCCACUAUUGACCACGAGUAAUUAGAUUAACGAAUAAUUGAAUAUUAGGUUAUUAUUAUUUUACUACUUUAAAAAUUAUCAAAUAUCAAAUGUUUACAACAAGUAUUAUCUCCUAUCAUUUUUCAACUAUAUUUUUAUAAAAAUAUCAUUUAUUACUUUUCCAUUACAACUGUUAGUUGACUCGUUAGUUGACUAGUUAGUUGACUAACAAAAUACUAAUUUUAUCCUUCAUGAUUAAAAAAAAGCUUCAUUAAAAAAAUAAUAAGAUAAAUUUAUUUUGUAAAUAAGCUUCAUUUUCAUAAUUCCAACAAAAAGAAUUAUGUUGGUAUUUUAUAUCCAUUUUAAUAAAUAUAUUACAAAUUUAUUUUGUAAAUAAGUUUUAAGUAAUUUUUUUUAAUCAUAAAGGGUGAAAUUGAUAUUUUAUUAGUCAAUUAACUGAUCAACUUACGGGUAUAACGAAAAAGUAGUAAAAUAAUAUUUUUAUAAAGAUAUAAUAGAAAAAUGAUCCGAGACAAUACUUAUUGCCAUCAUUAUUUGGGUCUAAAGAGACCAGCAGAACACAAGGAUGCUCACCUUCAAAUUUUGAAAUCCUUUCAUGGGAUAUUGUCAGAUUCAUGAAGCCAAAACAUUUCUUAGUUUCUCAGCUCUGAAAUGGAAAUUUCUUUGAGAGCUUUUUGCAUUGGUGUCUUUCCCGCAAGAAGUUCCUAAGAAAUGCGUUGCAUUGUGGGUCGAGAUUUCGGUUGAGAACUCAAGCAAGCAAAUGCUAUUGUUGAAACAAGAAUAAUAUCUUGAACAAUCUUUUGAUUCACUGGAGGCGAGAGACGUUGGUCUAAAACAUUGAUCAACAUGAUUUUUGGGCCCGACGAUGAUGAUAAUGAUGAGAGGAGUUCUCCUGGAUGUCUUCCCAUUAAUAUUUCGAGUGCCACUACCCCAAAGCUAUAAACAUCACAUUUCUCUGUCACAACCAUAGUGUGGGCAAGUUCUACAUGAAAAGAAAAGGUGUAAGAUUAUGUCUUUGAAAGUAAAACCAUAGAGCGUAAUAAGAAAUACAACCAAUUACUUUAUUCACCUGGGGCAAUAUAUCCGUAAGUGCCCGCUCAUAGGGUUCUAUUGGAUGAAUCGACAUGUAGAAGUCUAGCAGUGCCAAAAUCAGCAACAGAUGCCUCCAAAUUUAAGUCAAGUAGAAUGUUGUUGCUUGAUAUGUCGCGGUGAACAACUGACAGAGUGCAGUCGUGAUGCAGGUACGACAAAGCGUGAGCCACACUCUUCACGAUGCUCACUCUUUUUGUCCAAUUCAACUCAAUAGCUUCGUCAUCAUCGCGUAAAACACAGAACAAGCUUCCUCUUUCCAUGUACUCAUAAAUCAAAAACAUGCAUUUUUUGUGCAAACAAAAACCAUAAAGUUUCACAAUGUUCCGAUGUCGUACGGUAGAGAGUACAUGAGCCUCGUUUUGGAAACUCUUGACAAAAGCUGAAUCCUCUGUUUCAGAAUGGUGAAGCUUCUUCAAAGCAACAACUUUUCCUUCUGGUAGCUCUGCCUUGUAAACACUGCCGUAACCUCCAGUUCCGAUGCAAUAUUUGAUAUGAAAAUCUUCCGUUGCAUUAAUCAAAUCUUCAUAUAAAAUUUUACCAUCAUAAUUCCACACUGAAAACACAUCUCCAUUCUUGGCAGCUCUUGAGUUGAGUUUCGGAGUUUUAUUCUGACGUUUAAGGAGUAAUAUGAAUCCUAAUAUAAUGAAGGGGAGAAUUAGACUGAGAGGAAGAAAAAUUUUAACAAACAGAAUGAUUGAAGGUGGAUGCUUCUGACUUUGAGAGCAAGAAGGAAAGCCUUUAACAUGGCCACAUAAACCAUUGUUGCCUACAAAACUCUUUGGUGGAUGACCCUGCAAAUAAGUGGGAAUUUCACCUUCCAAACUGUUGAAUGACAUGUCUAAAUACAUUGGAGGGAGAGUCUUAGGUAUUGUGCCUGAAAGGUUAUUGUGAGAAAGGUCCAAGUUUUGAAGCCAUAAGAUUUUUCCCAUCUCUAGCGGAAUACUUCCAUUCAAACUGUUGUGGUUCAAUGUUAAAUUCCUCAACUCUGAGCAGUUGCCAAUCUCAGUUGGAAUAGAACCACUAAGUUUAUUUUUAGAGAGGUCUAGAGAUGCAAGGUUGAAGAGUUUUCCAAUUGCAAAAGGUAUUUGGCCUGAAAGUAGGUUUGAGGAAAGGUUAAGAUAUUUGAGGUGGGAUAACUUGGUGAGCUCGUCUGGAAUGAUACCACAUAUUCUGUUAUCAGAUAAGUCUAAAUAGCUUAGAGCACUAAAAUUCCCUAUUACUAGUGGAAUGGAGCUGUGGAGUUGGUUAGAACUGAGAUCCAAAAUCUGCAGGCUAGUUAAACGACCUAGAGUUGAAGGAAUAUGUCCAGUUAGCUUGUUACCUCCGAGAGACAAAGAAGUCAAAUUCUUUAGAUUUACUAUUUCUCGUGGAAUUGAUCCAUUGAACCGGUUGAAACCAAGACUUAAAUACUCAAUGUUUGUUAAACGAAACAGGGUUGAAGGAAUAGGUCCGCCUAGGUUGUUAGCGUCCAUAGACAAUGCAGUUAGACUUUUUAGAUUCUCGAUUUCCUGAGGUAGUACACCACCGAGUUUGUUACUACUCAAAUCAAGCUCCUUUAGAUUUCUUAAGCUCCCAAUUUCUUUUGGUAUAGUACCUGCAAUGUGAUUGAUUAAAGGACGAAUGAAUUUCAAUUAUUAUUUUUCAAAGAAUAUAAAUUAAAUAUAUAACUAGGCUAGCUAGCGAACAAAAUUAAUUGAUAACUCACCACUGAGUUUGUUACUACUCAAAUCAAGCCACUGUAGAUUUCUUAAACUCUCAAUUUCUAUAGGGAUAGUACCUACAAUGUGAUUGAUCAAAGAAAGAAUGAACAUCAAUGAUUUUUUUUUAAUGAAUAUAAAUUAAAUAUAUAGCUAGGCAAGCUAUCUACCAAAAUAAAUUGGUAACACACCACUGAGUUUGUUACCAUCCAAAGAAAGAGUCUCUAGAUUUCGUACACUCCCAAUUUCUAUAGGGAUAGUACCUGCAGUAUGAUUGAUGAAAGGAAGAAUGAAUGUCAAUGAUUGUUUUUUAAUGCAUAUAAAUUAAAUAUAUAGCUAGGCAAUCUAGCUACCAAAAUUAAUUGGUAACUCACCAUUGAGGUUGUUACUACCCAAAUCAAGCACCUCCAGAUUUCUUAAGCUCCCAAUUUCUUUUGGUAUAGUACCUGUAAUGUGAUCGAUUAAAGGACGAAUGAAUUUCAAUGAUUUUUUUUCAAUGAAUAUAAAUUAAAUAAACAGCUAGGCUAGCUAGCCACCAUAAUUAUUUGGUAACUCACUCACCUGUAAGAUUAUUCUCAUACAAAUAAAUGUAUGUAAGGUUUGAAAGAGAAUCAAUUUGGGAUGGAAUGCUUCCCGAUAGAUUAUUGCUCCCAAGAUCGAGAUAUUGCAGGUUUGGAAAGCAAGAAAAGUUGAGACGGCCAAGUUCCCCUUUGAUAUUGCUUUUCUGUAAGCCUAUGUCAGUGAUCCUUCCUUCAUAAUCGCAAGUG